rnacentral:rRNA from 1 species
GACGAACGCUGGCGGCGUGCUUAAUACAUGCAAGUCGAACGGAAAGGCCCUGCUUUUGUGGGGUGCUCGAGUGGCGAACGGGUGAGUAACACGUGAGUAACCUGCCCUUGACUUUGGGAUAACUUCAGGAAACUGGGGCUAAUACCGGAUAGGAUCUCCUGCUGCAUGGUGGGGGUUGGAAAGUUUCGGCGGUUGGGGAUGGACUCGCGGCUUAUCAGCUUGUUGGUGGGGUAGUGGCUUACCAAGGCUUUGACGGGUAGCCGGCCUGAGAGGGUGACCGGCCACAUUGGGACUGAGAUACGGCCCAGACUCCUACGGGAGGCAGCACUGGGGAAUAUUGAACAAUGGGCGGAAGCCUGAUGCAGCAACGCCGCGUGCGGGAUGACGGACUUCGGGUUGUAAACCGCUUUCGCCUGUGACGAAGCGUGAGUGACGGUAAUGGGUAGAGAAGCACCGGCUAACUACGUG